rnacentral:rRNA from 1 species
AUUGAACGCUGGCGGCAUGCUUUACACAUGCAAGUCGGACGGCAGCGGGGGUGCUUGCACCUGCCGGCGAGUGGCGAACGGGUGAGUAAUAUAUUGGAACGUACCGAGUAGUGGGGGAUAACUAAGCGAAAGUUUAGCUAAUACCGCAUACGACCUGAGGGUGAAAGCGGGGGACGGGAGACUGCCUCGCGCUAUUUGAGCGGCCAAUAACUGAUUAGCUAGUUGGUGGGGUAAAGGCCUACCAAGGCGAUGAUCAGUAGCGGGUCUGAGAGGAUGAUCCGCCACACUGGGACUGAGAGACGGCCCAGACUCCUACGGGAGGCAGCAGUGGGGAAUUUUGGACAAUGGGGGCAACCCUGAUCCAGCCAUGCCGCGUGUCUGAAGAAGGCCUUCGGGUUGUAAAGGACUUUUGUUAGGGAAGAAAAGGGAAGUGCUAAUAUCACUUUUUGCUGACGGUACCUAAAGAAUAAGCACCGGCUAACUACGUGCCAGCAGCCGCGGUAAUACGUAGGGUGCGAGCGUUAAUCGGAAUUACUGGGCGUAAAGCGAGCGCAGACGGUUAUUUAAGUCAGAUGUGAAAAUCCCCGAGCUUAACUUGGGAACUGCGUUUGAAACUGGGGUAACUAGAGUAUGUCAGAGGGGGGUAGAAAUUCCACGUGUAGCAGUGAAAAUGCGUAGAGAUGUGGAGGAAUCCCGAUGGCGGAGGCCGCCCCCCUGGGAUAUUACUGUCGUUUCUGUUCAAAGCGUGGGUAUUUAACU